CUUGCACCCCGACGCAGUGAGAGAAUAAGAGCGCGAGCUAAUCCAGUCAUCCCUAAAGUUCCACCAACUGAUGAUGAUGUGGUUAUGGAGCUUUUUGAGGAUUUUAAUAGUGGAGAAGCAAACAAUCCAAUGGCUGAAGAUGAUGUUCCAACGGCUGAUGAUGAUGUGGUUAUGUAGCGUUUUGAGGAUUUUAAUAGUGGAGAAGCAAACAAUCCAAUGGCUGAUGAUGAUUUUCCACCGGCUGAUGAUGAUGUGGAUAUGGAGCGUUUUGAGGAUUUUAAUAGUGGAGAAACAAACAAU